rnacentral:rRNA from 1 species
AAUCAACGCUGGCGGCGUGCCUCAGACAUGCAAGUCGAACGAUUAAACUUUCCUUCGGGAAAGAUAUAAAGUGGCGCACGGGUGAGUAACACGUAGGUAAUGUACCUUUGGGUGGGAAGUAACCAUCGGAAACGAUGGCUAAUACCGCAUAAUGCAGCGGCAUCGCAAGAUGACAGUUAGUUAAAGAUUUAUCGCCUAAAGAGCAGCCUGCGGCAGAUUAGGAG